rnacentral:misc_RNA from 1 species
CAACCCUUAAGCCUUGCUUAGUAUUGGGAGACUGCCUAAACCGCAGCUCCUUAAAGUCAGUGGCAGAGUCUAGGUGUGCUCUGAGCGUAGUAAUUUAUUAUCUCGCUUCUGUAAGCCGCCUAUGGCAAUAGCCAUAAGCCUUUUAUUACCGAAAUG